UCCUGGUAAAAUAAAUGGCUAGA
rnacentral:siRNA from 1 species